rnacentral:rRNA from 1 species
GACGAACGCUGGCGGCGUGCUUAACACAUGCAAGUCGAACGGAAAGGCCCUGCUUUUGUGGGGUGCUCGAGUGGCGAACGGGUGAGUAACACGUGAGUAACCUGCCCUUGACUUUGGGAUAACUUCAGGAAACUGGGGCUAAUACCGGAUAGGAGCUCCUGCUGCAUGGUGGGGGUUGGAAAGUUUCGGCGGUUGGGGAUGGACUCGCGGCUUAUCAGCUUGUUGGUGGGGUAGGGGCUUACCAAGGCUUUGACGGGUAGCCGGCCUGAGAGGGUGACCGGCCACAUUGGGACUGAGAUGCGGCCCAGACUCCUACGGGAGGCAGCAGUGGGGAAUAUUGCACAAUGGGCGGAAGCCUGAUGCAGCAACGCCGCGUGCGGGAUGACGGCCUUCGGGUUGUAAACCGCUUUCGCCUGUGACGAAGCGUGAGUGACGGUAAUGGGUAAAGAAGCACCGGCUAACUACGUG